ensembl:lncRNA
CAGAAGACACAGCGGUUGUUCUGACUAUCACCGAAAGGAACGGAUAAUAACUCACCCCGGGAAUCAACAAAAACACAUAUACGGUGGUCAGAAAGUCGUUACCGGGGGAAAUACUUCAGGGCGAGGCCACCGAGAGAAUGCGUCUCAGGUUUCUGUACAGGAUUUAUGCAAUGUGUUGUUUUGUGGCAGUCACAUCCUCUCUGACCAAGGCUGAGAAGAAAAAGGCGACGGGCAGAAGAUCUCGGCAGGUGGACAAUAGUCCGGAGGGGGUGUGGUCUGCCUGGGAGGAGUGGUCAGGAUGUUCUCAGAGUUGUGGAGUGGGCGUGUCACAGAGAACCAGAAAGUGUGAAGCCCCUCCCCGUCCCCUAACUCCACCCCUCUCCCACUCUCCUCCAAUCUGGGGGGGUUCAUCGUUCCUCCCAGGGAGGGCAGGGGGUCCCAACCAUGGCUCUGUCAUCUCUGCCAUCCACCCCUUCUACCCCCCUCGUUACUCUAGCAACCAGCCAUCCCAAUACGGGGGAGGAGGUGGGGGAGGGACAGAGAGACAGCCAGACCCCUUCUAUCCCCCCUCACUCCCAUCAUCCAAUCAGAACCCAGGACUGUCUCUCUAUCGGGACACUCCUAUAGGAGGAGGGGCAGGAGCUGUGCCAGCGCAGUCCUCCAAUCCCACGUCUCCCCUCUAUCGCCCGGAAUUCUCAUCACCCAAUCAGGAGCCAGGUUCUGUUUAUCGCUCCCCCUCAUUUCCUGCCCCCCCAUCCAGCUACAGCCAACCAGCACAGGCCGCCCGCCGGCCAACCAAUCCUGGAACAGGGAGGGCGGGAGGAAGUGGCAGCAGAAGGUCAGUGUUGCCCAAUAGGGGGGCCCUGCCUGCUAGUAGGUCCUCUUCUAUCCGUCCGGGUCAGUUUGGUUACGGCAGGGUUCCCUUCUCUCUGCCAUUACACCGGCAAAACCGGCAGGCCCGCCACACUGAGCACGGCAAUGCUACCAUAGCAACCCUGGUACUAGAGACCGAGGGGCAGGAGGGAACUGUUGUUAACAUUGACCAAAUGGACAGAUCUGGAGAAGGAG